rnacentral:rRNA from 1 species
GACGAACGCUGGCGGCGUGCCAAAUACAUGCAAGUCGAACGAGAGCACCCGGUGCUUGCACUGGUCAAUCUAGUGGCGAACGGGUGAGUAACACGUGGGUAACCUGCCCAUCAGAGGGGGAUAACAUCCGGAAACGGAUGCUAAAACCGCAUAGGUCUUCGAACCGCAUGGUUUGAAGAGGAAAAGAGGCGCAAGCUUCUGCUGAUGGAUGGACCCGCGGUGCAUUAGCUAGUUGGUGAGGUAACGGCUCACCAAGGCCGUGAUGCAUAGCCGACCUGAGAGGGUGAUCGGCCACAUUGGGACUGAGACACGGCCCAAACUCCUACGGGAGGCAGCAGUAGGGAAUCUUCCGCAAUGGACGCAAGUCUGACGGAGCAACGCCGCGUGAGUGAAGAAGGUUUUCGGAUCGUAAAACUCUGUUGUUAGAGAAGAACAAGUGCUAGAGUAACUGUUAGCGCCUUGACGGUAUCUAACCAGAAAGCCACGGCUAACUACGUG